GACGAACCGUGCGAACGUUGUUCGGAAUCACUGGGCUUAAAGGGCGCGUAGGCGGCCCGCCGCGUCCGGGGUGAAAUCCUCCCGCUCAACGGGAGAACGGCCUCGGAUACGGGCGGGCUGGAGGCGGGUAGGGGCAGGCGGAACUGUGGGUGGAGCGGUGAAAUGCGUUGAGAUCCACAGGAACUCCGGUGGCGAAGGCGGCUCACUGGCCCGAUACUGACGCUGAGGCACGAAAGCGUGGGGAGCGAACAGG
rnacentral:rRNA from 1 species